rnacentral:rRNA from 1 species
AGAGUUUGAUCAUGGCUCAGGAUGAACGCUAGCGGCAGGCCUAAUACAUGCAAGUCGAACGCCCAGCAAUGGGAGUGGCGCACGGGUGCGUAACGCGUAUGCAACCUACCUUAAACUGGGGGAUAGCCUUCCGAAAGGAAGAUUAAUACCCCAUAGUAUCACGAGAGGGCAUCUGAUUGUGAUUAAAGAUUUAUCGGUUUAAGAUGGGCAUGCGUGACAUUAGCUAGUUGGUGAGGUAACGGCUCACCAAGGCUACGAUGUCUAGGGGUUCUGAGAGGAUGAUCCCCCACACUGGUACUGAGAUACGGACCAGACUCCUACGGGAGGCAGCAGUAGGGAAUAUUGGGCAAUGGACGAGAGUCUGACCCAGCCAUGCCGCGUGCAGGAAGAAGGCCUUCUGGGUUGUAAACUGCUUUUAUCAGGGAAGAAAACGCUCCUGCGGGAGUAACUGACGGUACCUGGUGAAUAAGCACCGGCUAACUCCGUGCCAGCAGCCGCGGUAAUACGGAGGGUGCAAGCGUUGUCCGGAUUUAUUGGGUUUAAAGGGUGCGUAGGCGGCUUAUUAAGUCAGUGGUGAAAGCCAACAGCUCAACUGUUGAACUGCCAUUGAUACUGAUAAGCUUGAGUACAGACGAGGUAGGCGGAAUUGAAGAUGUAGCGGUGAAAUGCAUAGAUAUCUUCAAGAACACCGAUUGCGUAGGCAGCUUACUAGGCUGUAACUGACGCUGAGGCACGAAAGCGUGGGGAGCGAACAGGAUUAGAUACCCUAGUAGUCC